CCUACGGGUGGCUGCAGUGAGGAAUAUUGGUCAAUGGCCGGGAGGCUGAACCAGCCAAGUCGCAUGAGGGAAGACGGCCCUACGGGUUGUAAACCUCUUUUGUCAGGGAGCAAGGUGCAGGUCGGGACCUGCUGUGAGAGUACCUGAAGAAAAAGCAUCGGCUAACUCCGUGCCAGCAGCCGCGGUAAUACGGAGGAUGCGAGCGUUAUCCGGAUUUAUUGGGUUUAAAGGGUGCGUAGGCUGUGAGGUAAGUCAGCGGUGAAAUGCCCCCGCUCAACGGGGUGAAGUGCCAUUGAUACUGCCUUGCUGGAAUGCGGAUGCCGUGGGAGGAAUGUGUGGUGUAGCGGUGAAAUGCAUAGAUAUCACACAGAACACCGAUUGCGAAGGCAUCUCACGAAUCCGCGAUUGACGCUGAUGCACGAAAGCGUGGGUAUCAAACAGGAUUAGAUACCCCUGUAGUC
rnacentral:rRNA from 1 species